rnacentral:rRNA from 1 species
UGGGGAAUAUUGGACAAUGGGCGCAAGCCUGAUCCAGCCAUGCCGCGUGAGUGAUGAAGGCCCUAGGGUUGUAAAGCUCUUUUUGUGCGGGAAGAUAAUGACGGUACCGCAAGAAUAAGCCCCGGCUAACUUCGUG